rnacentral:rRNA from 1 species
CUCUUUGACUCCUACGGGAGGCAGCAGUGGGGAAUAUUGCACAAUGGGCGCAAGCCUGAUGCAGCAACGCCGUGUGAGUGAAGAAGGUUUUCGGAUCGUAAAACUCUGUCCUAAGGGAAGAAACAAAUGACGGUACCUUAGGAGGAAGCCCCGGCUAACUACGUGCCAGCAGCCGCGGUAAUACGUAGGGGGCAAGCGUUAUCCGGAAUCACUGGGCGUAAAGGGUGCGUAGGCGGCUUAGCAAGCCAGGGGUGAAAGGCAUUGGCUCAACCAAUGUAAGCCUUUGGAACUGUUAAGCUUGAGUGCAGGAGAGGUAAGUGGAAUUCCUAGUGUAGAGGUGAAAUUCGUAGAUAUUAGGAGGAACACCAGUGGCGAAGGCGACUUACUGGACUGUAACUGACGCUGAUGCACGAAAGCGUGGGUAGCGAACAGGAUUAGAUACCCUGGUAG